GACGAACGCUGGCGGCGUGCCUAAUACAUGCAAGUAGAACGCACAGUUUAUACCGUAGCUUGCUACACCAUAGACUGUGAGUUGCGAACGGGUGAGUAACGCGUAGGUAACCUGCCUGGUAGCGGGGGAUAACUAUUGGAAACGAUAGCUAAUACCGCAUAAUAUUGAUUAUUGCAUGAUAAUUGAUUGAAAGAUGCUAUUGCAUCACUACCAGAUGGACCUGCGUUGUAUUAGCUAGUAGGUGAGGUAACGGCUCACCUAGGCGACGAUACAUAGCCGACCUGAGAGGGUGAUCGGCCACACUGGGACUGAGACACGGCCCAGACUCCUACGGGAGGCAGCGGUAGGGAAUCUUCGGCAAUGGACGAAAGUCUGGCCGAGCAACGCCGCGUGAGUGAAGAAGGUUUUCGGAUCGUAAAGCUCUGUUGUAAGAGAAGAACGGGUGUGAGAGUGGAAAGUUCACACUGUGACGGUAUCUUACCAGAAAGGGACGGCUAACUACGUG
rnacentral:rRNA from 1 species